GUCAGGAUGGCCGAGCGGUCUAAGGCGCCAGACUCAAGGUUAACCUUACCUGAUUUAAACGCAGGUCGAGUGUUCUGGUCCACGAAUGUGGGCGUGGGUUCAAAUCCCACUUCUGACA
rfam:Helobdella robusta unplaced genomic scaffold HELROscaffold_4, whole genome shotgun sequence.